CGCCUCGGCUGGCCCCGGCCCGGCUGCUCGCUGCGUUUCCGGGGCCCGCGCCUCCGGCUCGUUUUGCUUCGCGCGGCGUUCCUGCCGCUCUGCCCCCAGCCUGCAGCGAUGCCUGGGGUUGUUGUGAGCGAAGUGUGGGACCGGCGAGUGGCGGUGUUGAGCCUCGUGCCGUUGGCGUCGGCCGUCGAUCAGCCUGUGCGGACCGCUCUGCAGGGUCUUCGAAUCCUUAGGCAGAUAAUAGCAGGAUGCAGGAGCUGAGGGGCGAUGGGAGGGAGGGGAGCGUCCUGCCGUGCCGCCGGCAGCCCGGGGACCGCGAGCUGUGGGUCCUCCAUCCGUCAGCACAGGAGCCGCGGUUCUGGCUGCAGCGGCAGGAACUCGGCGCAGCCCUGCACAGAGCGGACCGGCCGCAGGGGAAGAUGAUGGCCGUGGAGCGUGAGUGCCUCAGCGGUGUCUGCAGCCUGCGAGGAGCUGAGCGGGGCUGGGAAGAGGAAGGUGUGGGAGUGCUGGGGAGGGACGCAGAAUGGCAGUGUCAGCGGCAGGCUCGGCUGCUUCUUCCUCCUCCAGAGCCCACUGUCACAUCUGUGGGGUUCCACAGAACGCGCAGAAGUAAGAUGGCCCUGAGACCUGCCAUGUGCCUAUGGAAAUGGUGAGAGCGACUUCUGAGGCUGUGAGCGGUGGCUGAUGAGAGAAGCUGAAGAGAGGAGCCUCCGAGUUGAACUGACUGUGUGGGAAGGUACAUGCAAUGUCCAUCUCUUCUGGAGCAUUCCCCUUCCUGCUGCUGGCUGUUUCAGUCAGUGUCACUCUUGCUCUCUGGUACGGCACUGAAGCUUGAGAAAUGGACCUUGGAGGGGGUGGGCUGGGAGGUGUGUGUCCGACACGAGUUUUUGCCCUGCUGUGCUUUUACAGUAGAAUAUAGGUUCUGCAUGUGAAGUAUUUCAGUAAUAUCUUGUUUCUGUU